AGGAUUCCCCUAGUAACGGCGAGUGAACCAGGGAAGAGCUCAAAUUUGAAAUCUGGCAGUCUUCGAUUGUCCGAGUUGUAAUCUAUAGAAGCGUUUUCCGUGCUGAACUGUGUAUAAGUCCCUUGGAACAGGGUAUCAAAGAGGGUGACAAUCCCGUACUUUACACAAUCAUCAGUGCUCUGUGAUACGUUCUCUACGAGUCGAGUUGUUUGGGAAUGCAGCUCAAAAUGGGUGGUAAAUUCCAUCUAAAGCUAAAUAUUGGCGAGAGACCGAUAGCGAACAAGUACCGUGAGGGAAAGAUGAAAAGCACUUUGGAAAGAGAGUUAAACAGUACGUGAAAUUGUUGAAAGGGAAACGAAAUUCAUGAAUCAUGUUUAUUGGACUCAGCCGUUCUUCGGUGUACUUCCUUUAAACGGGUCAACAUCAGUUUUGUCCGAUGGAUAAAGGUAGUAGGAAGGUGGCUCUCUCGGGAGUGUUAUAGCCUAUUGCUGCAUACAUUGGAUGAGACUGAGGACUGCAGCUUGCCUUUAUGGCCGGGGUUCGCCCACGUCAAGCUAGGA
rnacentral:rRNA from 1 species